UUAAUCUGCUCCUGUAAGUGUCCCAGUGCUCACCCAAAUGUGAAGUAAACAGGGAAGCUCAAAGCAAAAACGGUGGUGUCUCAGGCCACCUCUUUUCCUCGCAGCAAUGUGGCUCAGAGCCAUGAGGUGAGGAGAAAGGAGAGCAAUCCCUUGUUGUCUAUACAUAAAAGAAACCCUCCAGCCACCAUGCUGAGGAGCAGCCUGCCCAGGGAACGGCCGCCUAGUGGGUAGCAGGGACUCACUGUGGAAGCAAAUCCCAAAGGCAGUGGGGGUACCUGCACUGUGGUUCUGCUCCACAGAAUGGUUUGUCGCCUUCUGCAGCCUUGCACUGCCUCUUCUUCAUCUCCUUGGAUUUGGGAAGCUUGCCUAGCAACACUUUGUUCUGACUUUGUGGGUAACCAAUGUGGCACAAGACUUUUAUAGGAGCCCUCAAACUGAUCUGCAAAGAUCUUCUGUUCUCCCAGCUCCUUCAGGGUUACCUUCAAGUUUUGCUGCUUUGAUGUUUUUUAUUUGCCUGGGAAAAUAAUUUGUGCCCAGACAAUUUUGUCCAAACUUUAAUAAGAGAGGGUGACCUACAUGGUUCUGUUCACAUCUGUGUUCAAAGGACGUGUAAGCACUGGGUGGGGGCAGGAGUGUAGACCUCGUGUGACAGAUGUGACUGUAGGAACGGUGAAGAACACUGAAAAUAAGGUUCUUGAAUGUAUGCAGAUGAAUUGUAGAAAAACAGCCCCUGCACCUGAAGCAAAUUAGUUAGUUCUUGAUAUGGGAGUCUGGCUGCCUUGAUCUGCAAGCUACACAACCUGAAGUUCAGUGAGCAGGGUAGGAUUUAGGAGUCCUUGUGCUGUGUGUGAUGCCCUAAGGGGUUGGAGGUUUGUGGCAGGCUAGCAGUGAGGGGCAGUGAGAAGUGAGAAAAGCCCAGCAGAGCCCAUCCCCAUUGAACUUGGAAUGGUUGAUUGAGUGGGGCACCCCAGAGCAUCUCAGGUGGCAGUGAACAUGUCUCACUGUGCAGCAGGGUUCUGCCCCAUGACCCUC